GAUGAAGAACGUAGCGAAAUGCGAUAAGUAAUGUGAAUUGCAGAAUUCAGUGAAUCAUCGAGUCUUUGAACGCACAUUGCGCCCCCUGGUAUUCCGGGGGGCAUGCCUGUCCGAGCGUCAUUGCUGCCCUCAAGCACAGCUUGUGUGUUGGGCCCCCGUCCCCGGUUUCCCCCGGGGACGGGCCCGAAAGGCAGCGGCGGCACCGCGUCCGGUCCUCGAGCGUAUGGGGCUUUGUCACCCGCUCUGUAGGCCCGGCCGGCGCCGGCCGACACCCAACUUUAUUUCUAAGGUUGACCUCGGAUCAGGUAGGGAUACCCGCUGAACUUAAGCAUAUCAAUAAGCGGAGGA
rnacentral:misc_RNA from 1 species